rnacentral:rRNA from 1 species
GAUGAACGCUGGCGGCGUGCCUAAUACAUGCAAGUCGAGCGAACAGACGAGGAGCUUGCUCCUCUGACGUUAGCGGCGGACGGGUGAGUAACACGUGGAUAACCUACCUAUAAGACUGGGAUAACUUCGGGAAACCGGAGCUAAUACCGGAUAAUAUAUUGAACCGCAUGGUUCAAUAGUGAAAGACGGUUUUGCUGUCACUUAUAGAUGGAUCCGUGCCGCAUUAGCUAGUUGGUAAGGUAACGGCUUACCAAGGCGACGAUGCGUAGCCGACCUGAGAGGGGGAUCGGCCACACGGGAACUGAGACACGGUCCAGACUCCUACGGGAGGCAGCAGUAGGGAAUCUUCCGCAAUGGGCGAAAGCCUGACGGAGCAACGCCGCGUGAGUGAUGAAGGUCUUCGGAUCGUAAAACUCUGUUAUUAGGGAAGAACAAAUGUGUAAGUAACUAUGCACGUCUUGACGGUACCUAAUCAGAAAGCCACGGCUAACUACGUG